rnacentral:rRNA from 1 species
GAUGUUGGGUUAAGUCCCGCAACGAGCGCAACCCUCACUUUUAGUUGCCAUCAUUAAGUUGGGCACUCUGAAAGAACUGCCAGUGAUAAGCUGGAGGAAGGUGGGGAUGACGUCAAGUCCUCAUGGCCCUUACGUGUUGGGCUACACACGUGCUACAAUGGCAUCUACAACAUUAAGCAAAACGGCAACGUUAAGCAAAUCCCGAAAAGAUGCCUGAGUUCGGAUUGCACUCUGCAACUCGAGUGCAUGAAGCUGGAAUUACUAGUAAUCGUGGAUCAGCGUGCCACGGUGAAUGCGUUCCCGGGUCUU